UUCUAGCGCGGAUUGACACUCACUAAUUUGUACUAAUUUUGCCACAUUUGCAUGGCUAAGCUUUAUUUGUUCCGGCACAGAGUGCUGCAGUGCCCUCAAAAUGUAUCGCUUGUUGACUGUCUAUUACAGGUUUCCGUAAAUCCCCCCUUCUCUCCAGCAAGACCGCAGCCAGCUGUAUCCCAAGGGCCCCUGCCUGCCCCAAACCCUUCCUUUGCAAGGUGUUGACAAGCUCACAAGCGUCCACGAGUCACGACUGGCACCAGUUUGAAAAAUGUGAGUCUGUUUCAAUGAGGGGGCGACGGGACACACAGUUGUGCUAGCUGUGUGAGAGUUGAGAAGGCCGGGGCAGAGGGACCAACUUCAGUCGAAGGCUUUUCACCUUCACCUCCUGGGUGGCACAAAAUGGAAGGGCAUUGAGACCCAGGCUUUCCCAGCAGGCACAGUGCCCAUCCAAAACGGUGGAGUGGGCGUAAGGCUGGGCCUACCGAGACGUUGUGCUGCUUGCUGUUCUCUGAGAGCCAGAGGGAGAGCACCGUGGGGUCCGAUUGCUUGGUGCAGGGCUCAUCCAGAACCAGGAGUCCCAGAUUGUCCGGUUUACCAUCCGGCCGAGGAACCUGAGGUUCACACAAGAUCGGAUCGCAUUCUGCACUCAGAGUAAAGCUGUCACACUGCAUUAUAAAGUUCAGAGUGGUCAGCAGACAACAUGCUCUUUUCUUUUUUUUUUUUUUUUUUUUUACAAAAACUUGGUAGCUAACCUUGAGGAAAGCGUCAAUGUCACCAACUGCAGGGAUGAAGUCGGGGAUGAAUGGCUUCAGCUUGUGGUCUAGCUCAAUAGUCUGAGGUGUGUAUCUAACGUGGGAGGGAACAAAAGCAUGGACGGGAAAUUACUUUCCACUGAAGCGUACUGUGAAAUGUUCAUCGCUUGACAUAUGACUUAUCUUUGUAUCUUGGCUGCUUUGCUGCAGCUGUGGUUUGCAGAUGAGUGGCAGACCUUCACUCACCGUGUGAUGUACUGAAACAAUUCUUUGAUCUCUGCAGUCACAGGAAGGUGGUCGUAGUCUGCAGGGUCGUAUGCUCUGUAAGUGAGUGGAAGAGCCUUUUAAACACACAGUACACAAUCUGUUGAAUAAAAUUCUGUCUACCCUCAUUCAAAAA